rnacentral:ncRNA from 1 species
GAGAGCCGUAUGAUGGGAAACUAUCACGUACGGUUCGGGAAAGGGGGAGUAAUCUGGUAACAGGGUUAUUUCUCUAGUUCAU